rnacentral:lncRNA from 1 species
CUGCCUUCCUCCCAUCAGGGCUACCCCUGUCAGCCUCCCAUCAGCAAGGUUUCACCCAUCUCAGAACCUCUCCCUUAAAGCUGCUUUACUGGCGCACGUGCGGUUUUGGGGGAGCAAGGCAGAUGGGAGCUCUUAUUAUGUUUAAACUGUUUAUGCCGGGGAACUGCAAGUGGAAUGUCACAUACUUCUUCAUCAGUCAUAAUGAGUCAACGUAUCUACUUAUGGCAAGACUGGGAGUGGACCUAGAUAUAAAAAUGAGACUCUGUUUGUCCAUAAGAAGAUGUCUUCAUGCUCUAAGUUUCAACACAGCCACCUAAAUAGCCAAAGCUGAAAUUAAGUCAUGGGAAGAAAAGUGGAAGAAUAAAGGACUGUCCUUUCUUUUACUGUCUUCUGGA